AGCAGCCGCGGUAAUUCCAGCUCCAAUAGCGUAUAUUAAAGUUGUUGCAGUUAAAAAGCUCGUAGUUGAAUUUCGGGGUCAGUAGGUUGGUCAUGCCACUGGUAUGUACUGGUCUCACUGAUUCCUCCUUCCUGAUGAACUGUAAUGCCAUUAAUUUGGUGUUGCAGGGAAUCUGGACUGUUACUUUGAAAAAUUAGAGUGUUUAAAGCAGGCUAACGCCUGAAUACAUUAGCAUGGAAUAAUGAAAUAGGACGUUCGAUCCUAUUUUGUUGGUUUCUAGGAUUGACGUAAUGAUUAAUAGGGAUAGUUGGGGGCAUUAGUAUUCAAUUGUCAGAGGUGAAAUUCUUGGAUUUAUUGAAGACUAACUACUGCGAAAGCAUUUGCCAAGGAUGUUUUCAUUAAUCAAGAACGAAAGUUAGGGGAUCGAAGACGAUCAGAUACCGUCGUAGUCUUAACCAUAAACUAUGCCGACUAGGGAUCGGAUGAUGUUAAUUUUUUAAUGACUCAUUC
rnacentral:rRNA from 1 species